rnacentral:rRNA from 1 species
CACGUAGGGCGCAAGCGUUGUCCGGAAUUAUUGGGCGUAAAGAGCUCGUAGGCGGUCUGUUGCGUCCGCUGUGAAAACUCGGGGCUUAACCCCGAGCCUGCAGUGGAUACGGGCAGACUAGAGGUAGGUAGGGGAGAAUGGAAUUCCCGGUGUAGCGGUGAAAUGCGUAGAUAUCGAGAGGAACACCUGCGGCGAAGGCGGGUUGCUGGGCCGACACUGACGCUGAUGCGCGAAAGCCAGGGGAGCGAACGGG